rnacentral:rRNA from 1 species
CUUAUUGUUAGUUGCCCUCAUUCAGUUGGGCACUCUAGCAAGACUGCCGGUGACAAACCGGAGGAAGGUGGGGAUGACGUCAAAUCAUCAUGCCCCUUAUGACCUGGGCUACACACGUGCUACAAUGGGAAGUACAACGAGUUGCGAAGUCGCGAGGCUAAGCUAAUCUCUUAAAGCUUCUCUCAGUUCGGAUUGCAGGCUGCAACUCGCCUGCAUGAAGCCGGAAUCGCUAGUAAUCGCGGAUCAGCACGCCGCGGUGAAUACGUUCCCGGGCCUUGUACACACCGCCCGUCACACCACGAGAGUUUGUAACACCCGAAGUCGGUGAGGUAACCUUUUGGAGCCAGUCGCCUAAGGUGGGAUAGAUGAUUGGGGUGAAGUCGUAACAAGGUAGCCGUAUCGGAAGGUGCGGCUGGAUCACCUCCUUUCUAAGGAA